GAAUCCCACACACUGAUCAGUUGUCUCCGAACAGUUCGGCUGACGAGAUGCGGCUGUGUAGUGCCGGGCUCUUGGUGACCCUAGCGGUCUUUGCAAGCAGUUUCGACAUACGGGAACCGGAGCAGAAAGGAUUGGUAUCAACAUGCAACCUUCUAUCAGAUCUAUCCACGCUCCUUCAAGGACAGUGAUGGCGACGGGAUUGGUGAUCUUGCGGGAAUCACCUCGAAAAUGAGUUACUUGGCCGAUAUUGGAAUCGAUGCUACCUGGUUGAGUCCACCGUUCAAAUCGCCACUGAGGGAUUUUGGUUAUGACGUGUCCGAUUUUUACGACAUUCAACCCGAGUACGGAACGUUGGAGAGCUUCGAUGAGCUGGUGCAGGAAGCGCAUAAAAAUGGAAUCAAGCUGAUGUUGGAUUUCAUUCCGAAUCAUUCGAGUGACGAGCACGAUUGGUUCGUGAAAUCAGCGGAAAGAAACGAAACGUACAAGGAUUUCUACGUUUGGCAUCCCGGUAGACAAAAUGCUGAAACGGGUAAACUCGAUCCUCCAAACAAUUGGAUAUCGGUUUUUGGUGGACCGGCGUGGACGUAUCAUGAAGGACGCCAGGAGUUCUAUUUGCAUCAGUUUACGGAUAAGCAACCGGAUUUGAACUAUCGUAAUCCAGCGGUUCUGGAAGAGAUGACAAAGAUGUUAUUCUUCUGGUUGGAUCGAGGCGUUGACGGAUUCCGGCUGGAUGCUAUCAACCACAUGUUCGAAGAUCCAGAACUUCGGGAUGAACCUCCAUCAGGCUGGAGUGAUCCCGGAAAGUACGAUUCUCUGGAUCACAUCUACACAAAAGAUGUCGAGGACGUGUAUAAGGUUGUGUACGAUUGGCGUGACUUGAUGGAUGCUUACUCGAAGGAAAAUGGGCGAACCAUCAUUCUGAUGACGGAAGCGUAUUCCAGCAUCGAAGGUACGAUGCUGUAUUACGAGAAUGCGAAUCGUACCCGGCAAGGAGCGCAUAUGCCGUUCAACUUCCAGCUGAUUUACGACUUCAAGGAUAUUCAGAAUGCAGUUGGAUUGAAGCAAUCGAUUGAUUGGUGGAUGAACCAUAUGCCUGCGAGACACACACCGAGCUGGGUCAGUGGUUCUCAUGACCAUGAACGGUUCGCUUCCAGGGUUGGCGAGAACCGGGUGGAGCAAAUGAUGACGUUGUUGCAUACUUUGCCAGGGACUAGCAUCACUUACUAUGGCGAGGAAAUCGGUAUGCUGGACUACAAGGAAGCCCAAACCUACGACGGCCGUGAUCCAAACCGUACCCCCAUGCAGUGGGAUGGAACAACUAGCGCAGGAUUCAGUACCAACGCUACCACAUGGUUGAAGGUCCAUCCGAAUUACGCCAGCUUGAACGUGGAUUUGCAACAAAACGCUGAGAAGAGCAACUUCCACCACUUCAGAGCUUUGACCAGUUUGCGACGACAUGAAACCAUGCAGAAUGGUGACUUCUUGCACCGAACUGUUGGGACCCAUGUCUACGCUUUGCUGAGGGAACUUCAGGGCAGGGACUCGUUCUUGACGGUGCUCAACAUGGCGGAUAAGCAGUACGAUGUCGAUCUGGGCGAUUUCGUGAAUCUACCGGAGAAGAUGACCGUUCAAGUAGCACAGUCGAACUCGACCCUGAAAGCCGGAGACGUGGUUGAAAUCAGCAAAGUGACGUUGGGACCUUACGAUUCCAUUGUGUUGAGAGCUUCAUCGGCAGCUGCAAUUCAGCUUUCGCUAUCGGUUGUGAUUGCUCUUAUCGUCAAGUAUUUCUUAGUGUAGGAAAAGAUAGCGCGUAUCUUAAUUCGAGUUACGUUUUGAUUGCUGAUGCAACAUGACAGCCAAUGUUAUCGAUCAAUUGAAAUAAAUCGAUUAACUGUU